rnacentral:rRNA from 1 species
UACGUAGGGGGCAAGCGUUGUCCGGAUUUAUUGGGCGUAAAAGGCUUGUAGGUGGCCACGCCAAGUCGGAUGUGAAAUCUCCCGGCUCAACUGGGAGGGGUCAUUCGAUACUGGCGGGCUCGAGGCCGGUAGGGGGAAGUGGAAUUCCUGGUGUAGCGGUGAAAUGCGCAGAUAUCGGGAGGAACACCAGUGGCGAAGGCGGCGAUCUGGGAAGAUACUGACGCUGAGGUGCGAAAGCGUGGGGAGCAAACAGG